GUUAUAUACAAUUUGGUGAAUCAGCUUGUUCAUGUUAAAAAUGAAAAUUAAUGUGUUAGAUUUAAUUGAAGCUCUAAGAGGAUCUAAAUUUAUAUAUGAUAAAUUUGAUGAAAGUUACAAGGAUUCACGCAAAAAAUCAGAAUUUUGGAUAAAUUUAGGCCUACAAUUUGGUGAAUCAGGUGAUGAGUUAAAGGCUAGAUGGAACAAUCUAAGAGAUUACCAAAAUAAAGAAUAUAAAAAAACUUUGGAUAAACCUAGUGGUUCAGCAGGACCACCAUAUAUAUCUGUAUGGCCGUAUUAUGAAGCAUUAUCUUUUUUAAACAAAACAUUAACAUCUAGAACACAAAUAUCCAACAUAACCAUAUCAAAUUCCACUCCGCUGUAUGAUAUCACCACAGAAACCAAUGAUUUGACAAUCAGGAUAACAAUCUUCAAAUAGAAAAAACGUUAAACAACAAAUUGGUACAAAACUUUUUAAGAAACAUAAAGAUGGGAACUUAUCAUACAAAAUAAAUACUGGAAAUAACAUUAUUAGUAGACAUCUAGACCAGAUAAAAAAGCGAUCAAUGAACAUUAUUCCAAAUAAAAAUAUGACAACACAUUUCAAAGAAAUAAAUUAUGAUAAUAAAUAUAAAAAUUCUACAACAAACCUACAGGUUUUUAGAAGGGAAGAAGUAAAGAACUGAUUCAAAAUCAAGAUCAAGUACAAGAUCAAAUUCAAGAUCAAAAUAACUAUUUAAGACCUGAAAGAUUCUUAAUUAUAAAUAAAUAUUAAAUAAAUUUUUUUUUACUUUAGUAUAUACAUAAGAAAAUUUUUGAAAUUGAUGAAAUAUUGAUGAUCUGAUCAAAGACAUUACUGAAUAAAUGAUGAGAUAGCAAUUGACAAAUAAUGGAAAUUUGGAAUGAUUACGAUCAAGCAGCUAAAUACCAACGCGUGACUAUCCAAUCAACAAGCCAUGUAAUAAAAGAGGGAAAUGUUAAAAUGAACCAAACUAAAAUUUUGGUUAUCAUUUUUUGAUUAAACACUAAAGGUUAUUCAAAGUGUAAAAUAAUUUAGUUUUUGUAAAAAUGUUUUACCUUAAAAUAAUUUGUUUAAAAGUUUCUUUUACCUUAAAAUAUAUAUUAAACCUUGUAUAGUUUUUUUUUAUACUUUUGUAUAUUUUGUACAUUCAUAUUAAUCAUUAUAACAAAUGUAUCCUCAACGAAAAUUUAUAA